rnacentral:rRNA from 1 species
GACGUAGGGGGCGAGCGUUGUCCGGAUUUAUUGGGCGUAAAGCGUGCGUAGGCGGCUGCGCAAGUCGGGUGUGAAACCCCGGGGCUCAACCCCGGAACUGCAUCCGAUACUGCGUGGCUAGAGGUAGGUAGGGGAGAUCGGAAUUCCUGGUGUAGCGGUGAAAUGCGUAGAUAUCUGGAGGAACAUCGGUGGCGAAGGCGGCAUCCUGGACCGGUAUUGACGCUGAGGCGCGAAAGCCAGGGGAGCAAACGGG